GACGUAGGGGGCAAGCGUUGCUCGGAAUUACUGGGCUUAAAGCGCGCGGAGGCGGCUUUAUAAGACAGAGGUGAAAUCCCCCAGCUCAACCGUGGAACUGCAUUGGUGACUACAAGGCUUGAGUACGGCAGAGGGGGGUGGAAUUCCGGGUGUAGCAGUGAAAUGCGUAGAUAUCGGGAGGAAGGCCGAUGGCGAAAGCAGGCCUCUGGGCCUGUACUGACGCUGAGGCGCGAAAGCGUGGGGAGCAAACAGG
rnacentral:rRNA from 1 species